CCAGGAACAAGGUUGGAGUAUAAAACCUACAGGAGGGUAGGGGCCCAGGUUCCUGUUAGUUUUAUUCUGACACCCUGUCCUAUUCCCUAUAUAGUGCAGUGUGCACUAUAUUUGACCAGAACCUCUGUAGGGAAUAGGGUGCCACAACAUUCUGUUUCCAUGGUGACGUGGAGCUCAGCUUGUCUCGUUGGAAGGCAACACACAUAAUGCCCUUUUUUUCUUUUUACAAGGUUACUUAAAAAAAAGGUUAAGUUAAGCACUUGAGUUUCAUAUGGUAAUCGUAAAUAAAAAACUAUUUCUACUUCCUGCAUUCAGAAAGAGUUUAAACAUGGCGAUAUCCAGCUGUUGUCAUUUUCAAUUUAAGGAAAUCGCCUGUUUGAGUGUUCGUCCCAAAUGGCACCCGAUUCCCUAUGUAGUGCACUACUUUUGACCAGGGCCUAGAGGGUGCCGUUUGGGAUGAACGCUGGGACAGAUGGGACUCCCAUUGUUUAACAUAAAAGGGCUAUCGCCUCAUUGGUCCCUCUCAUGUAACCAAUGGCCUGAAGGAUGUUUUACGUUUGUUUGUGACAAAAUGUUGUUUUAAAUUGUCAAUUUGUUUAAUUGUUCAUGAAUAGGUUCAUUCUUUCCCACCUGUCCUGAGGUUGGUUGGUUUCUAAUUGCGUAGAUGGAAUGAUUAAAUAUCUGUCUUUAAAAAAUAAAAAAAAUCUUGUUUAUUUUUUCAUUUAGUGGAAUUCAACCACUUUUCCGUAAGUUGUGGUCUAUAUAGGGGCGGCAGGUAGCCUAGUGGUUAGAGUGUAGGGGCGGCAGGUAGCCUAGUGGUUAGAGUGUAGGGGCGGCAGGCAGCCUAGUGGUUAGAGUGUAGGGGCGGCAGGUAGCCUAGUGGUUAGAGUGUAGGGGCGGCAGGUAGCCUAGUGGUUAGAGUGUAGGGGCGGCAGGUAGCCUAGUGGUUAGAGUGUAGGGGCGGCAGGGUAGCCUAGUGGUUAGAGUGUAGGGGCGGCAGGGUAGCCUAGUGGUUAGAGUGUAGGGGCGGCAGGGUAGCCUAGUGGUUAGAGUGUAGGGGCGGCAGGGUAGCCUAGUGGUUAGAGUGUAGGGGCGGCAGGUAGCCUAGUGGUUAGAGUGUAGGGGCGGCAGGUAGCCUAGUGGUUAGAGUGUAGGGGCGGCAGGUAGCCUAGUGGUUAGAGUGUAGGGGCGGCAGGUAGCCUAGUGGUUAGAGUGGAGGGGCGGCAGGUAGCCUAGUGGUUAGAGUGGAGGGGCGGCAGGUAGCCUAGUGGUUAGAGUGUAGGGGCGGCAGGUAGCCUAGUGGUUAGAGUGUAGGGGCGGCAGGUAGCCUAGUGGUUAGAGUGUAGGGGCGGCAGGUAGCCUGGUGGUUAGAGUGUAGGGGCGGCAGGUAGCCUAGUGGUUAGAGUGUAGGGGCGGCAGGUAGCCUAGUGGUUAGAGUGUAGGGGCGGCAGGUAGCCUGGUGGUUAGAGUGUAGGGGCGGCAGGUAGCCUGGUGGUUAGAGUGUAGGGGCGGCAGGUAGCCUGGUGGUUAGAGUGUAGGGGCGGCAGGUAGCCUGGUGGUUAGAGUGUAGGGGCGGCAGGUAGCCUGGUGGUUAGAGUGUAGAGGCGGCAGGUAGCCUGGUGGUUAGAGUGUAGGGGCGGCAGGUAGCCUGGUGGUUAGAGUGUAGGGGCGGCAGGUAGCCUGGUGGUUAGAGUGUAGGGGCGGCAGGUAGCCUGGUGGUUAGAGUGUAGGGGCGGCAGGUAGCCUAGUGGUUAGUGUGUUGGGCCAGUAACCGAAAGAUUGUUGGCUCGAAUCCCCGAGCUGACAAGGUAAACGUCUCUCGUUCUGUAACAAGGCAGUUAUCCCGCUGUUCCCCGGUAGGCCGUCAUUGUAAAUAAGAAUUGGUUCUUGCCUACUUAAAUAAAUAAAAAUGAAAGAAUGCCUGAUUCAAAACCGUGAUGUGUCAUGUGUAAGUUGUGACCAACUGACAAAUUGUGACCGACUGAUCUACAAAUAAUAUCGAGUAUUUAUUAUGCAAUAU